ensembl:snRNA U6 U6 spliceosomal RNA
GCUUGCUUUGGCAAUCCACGUAUUAAAACUGGAAAUAUACAUGGAAGAUUAGUAUGGCCCUUAAGCGAGGACAACCUUGCAAAUUCAUGAAUUGUUUCGUAUUUUU